rnacentral:rRNA from 1 species
AUUGAACGCUGGCGGCAGGCCUAACACAUGCAAGUCGAACGGUAACAGGAAGAAGCUUGCUUCUUUGCUGACGAGUGGCGGACGGGUGAGGAAUGUCUGGGAAACUGUCUGAUGGAGGGGGAUAACUACUGGAAACGGUAGCUAAUACCGCAUAACGUCGCAAGACCAAAGAGGGGGACCUUCGGGCCUCUUGCCAUCGGAUGUGCCCAGAUGGGAUUAGCUAGUAGGUGGGGUAACGGCUCACCUAGGCGACGAUCCCUAGCUGGUCUGAGAGGAUGACCAGCCACACUGGAACUGAGACACGGUCCAGACUCCUACGGGAGGCAGCAGUGGGGAAUAUUGCACAAUGGGCGCAAGCCUGAUGCAGCCAUGCCGCGUGUAUGAAGAAGGCCUUCGGGUUGUAAAGUACUUUCGGCGGGGAAGAAGGGAGUAAAGUUAAUACCUUGGCUCAUUGACGUUACCCGCAGAAGAAGCACCGGCUAACUCCGUG